rnacentral:rRNA from 1 species
GAUGAACGCUGGCGGCGUGCUUAACACAUGCAAGUCGAACGGUGAAGCAGAGCUUGCUCUGUGGAUCAGUGGCGAACGGGUGAGUAACACGUGAGCAACCCGCCCCUGACUCUGGGAUAAGCGUUGGAAACGGCGUCUAAUACUGGAUAUGAGCUCCGACCGCAUGGUCAGCAGUUGGAAAGAUUUUUCGGUCUGGGAUGGGCUCCCGGCCUAUCAGCUUGUUGGUGAGGUAAUGGCUCACCAAGGCGUCGACGGGUAGCCGGCCUGAGAGGGUGACCGGCCACACUGGGACUGAGACACGGCCCAGACUCCUACGGGAGGCAGCAGUGGGGAAUAUUGCACAAUGGGCGAAAGCCUGAUGCAGCAACGCCGCGUGAGGGAUGACGGCCUUCGGGUUGUAAACCUCUUUUGGCAGGGAAGAAGCGAGAGUGACGGUACCUGCAGAAAAAGCGCCGGCUAACUACGUG